rnacentral:lncRNA from 1 species
AAGAGGUUCAAGCACCCUGCAUAGAGAAGAAUGCCCACUUCGUUACCACUCUUUUCAAACAGGAUUCCAUGAAUGCCACAUUCGCCAGCUUUUCCCAAGCCUCAGAGUAUCUGUGUGUCUUUCAUUCACUGUGAGGCCCUCUAUGCAGCCCGGGACACGGAGACACCAUCCAGUCCCGUCCCGGGUUUGGAUUUGGGGUGGCUCAAAUUCAAGGAGCUGGAACCAAGGAGUAUGAAACCAAGACGCAGCUCAGCAUGCAGAGCCAGAGCUCUUCUCCCCCUGAGAAGACGACUGGGCAAACAUCCCAUCAGCAUGGGCCACAUUUAUUCCACUGAAUGAAGAGCAUUUUUGUUUUCCGGACACCUUGGUGGCAACAAUGGCAAAGGGCAAAGGAGGCUGGGGCCCAUGACCUCCAGGGGCUGUAAUGGCCAUCUGACCUCUGAGUUCAGUCACAUAUGCAGAGCCCAACAUGACUCCCAGCAGCCUGUCCAGAGGAAAGCUUGAUGAAGAACUUCAUAAUACCAUAGAACUCCAUUUUAAAAGCAAAAAUAUGUUUCUUUUAAAUAGCCUAUGAUUAAAUGUUAUUUGAUUUAAAAAGAGAGUGUACUGCACAGCUACUGAAACAGAGUUUAGGACUUUUGCAAACAGAUUCUAGAGAGGC